GCCGGGGACUCAUAAGGCCAGCGCACUCGACCUCUCUUCGCCAGAUUCUCAGCUAACCCUAGUUAGUGCAGGCCACCGCUGUGAUUUUGUACACGACUUGCGAACUACCUUAUCUCAUUCUGUAUCUCUCUUUCAUAGCCACGCACCAAGUUGCCAGACACGAAUCUCCACUGAAGAACAACCAUCUGGACGCUGGACCUCCUGACAGUCUCACGGGUUUCUCGCCCCAUGCAACUGCCUGCCUCCCUGCCUCAAUGCCAGGGAUUUCGGAUUUCAGACCACUCACCCAGACCACUCCACGCCACUACUGACCGCAACAGGCUGAUCUGGCGGUACUGGCUGAUGGAUGAGGAGUUCUUCUCCUUAGGGAUCAGAAUACCUCCUGCUCUUCGCCAAGCCUUUGGAAUCACUCCUUUCUGCCAUGCUACCUUCAUCAGCUUCCACAGGUUUUCUACAGGAAGAAAAGAGGCAGCAGCCCAUCUCUGAGCCAGAAGCCCACGAACAUCAUGAGGAACCUGACGACACUGAACAAAAUCCCAGACCCCCUCUCAUACCAGCCAAGAUGAGGAAGUCGUGUGGGCUAACAGACUUGCUUGGUCAGACUUAUAGUGAUGUUGGAGCCCCACCAAAAUCAUUAUCUGCCACAGCUGAGGAGGAGGUGAAAAGAUACCAGGAGGUCACGCCACUGGCACUCACAGAAGACCCACUAAGCUGGUGGAAAUACCAUGAACAAGUCUAUGCUUUCCUGGCCACGCUGGCAAAAAGAUACCUUUGCAUCCCAGCAUGUCUUUCAUCCUGUUUUCCUUCUCUCACCCCAACCGGUCGCAGCAGAUGGCCCCGCCCC
ensembl:lncRNA